UACAGAGGUCUCAAGCGUUGUUCGGAUUCAUUGGGCGUAAAGGGAGUGUAGGUGGCGCCGUAAGUCGGGUGUGAAAUCUCGGGGCUUAACUCCGAAACUGCAUUCGAUACUGCGGUGCUUGAGGACUGGAGAGGAGACUGGAAUUUACGGUGUAGCGGUGAAAUGCGUAGAUAUCGUAAGGAAGACCAGUGGCGAAGGCGGGUCUCUGGACAGUUCCUGACGCUGAGGCACGAAGGCCAGGGGAGCAAACGGG
rnacentral:rRNA from 1 species